rnacentral:rRNA from 1 species
UCCUACGGGAGGCAGCAGUGGGGAAUAUUGCACAAUGGGCGAAAGCCUGAUGCAGCGACGCCGCGUGAGGGAUGAAGGCCUUCGGGUUGUAAACCUCUUUCAGCAGGGAAGAAGCAGCCGGGUUUUCUUGGUUGUGACGGUACCUGCAGAAGAAGCACCGGCUAACUACGUGCCAGCAGCCGCGGUAAUACGCAGGGUGCAAGCGUUGUCCGGAAUUAUUGGGCGUAAAGAGCUUGUAGGCGGUUUGUCGCGUCUGCUGUGAAAUUUCGGGGCUCAACCCCGAACUUGCAGUGGGUACGGGCAGACUAGAGUGUGGUAGGGGAGACUGGAAUUCCUGGUGUAGCGGUGAAAUGCGCAGAUAUCAGGAGGAACACCGAUGGCGAAGGCAGGUCUCUGGGCCACUACUGACGCUGAGAAGCGAAAGCAUGGGGAGCGAACAGGAUUAGAUACCCUGGUAGUCCAUGCCGUAAACGUUGGGAACUAGGUGUGGGCCUCAUUCCACGAGGUCCGUGCCGCAGCUAACGCAUUAAGUUCCCCGCCUGGGGAGUACGGCCGCAAGGCUAAAACUCAAAGGAAUUGACGGGGGCCCGCACAAGCGGCGGAGCAUGCGGAUUAAUUCGAUGCAACGCGAAGAACCUUACCAAGGCUUGACAUGUGCCGGUAAAGUGCAGAGAUGUGCUCCCCGCAAGGUCGGUACACAGGUGGUGCAUGGUUGUCGUCAGCUCGUGUCGUGAGAUGUUGGGUUAAGUCCCGCAACGAGCGCAACCCUCGUUCUAUGUUGCCAGCACGUGAUGGUGGGGACUCAUAGGAGACUGCCGGGGUCAACUCGGAGGAAGGUGGGGAUGACGUCAAAUCAUCAUGCCCCUUAUGUCUUGGGCUUCACGCAUGCUACAAUGGCCAGUACAAAGGGCUGCGAUACCGCAAGGUGGAGCGAAUCCCAAAAAACUGGUCUCAGUUUGGAUCGGGGUCUGCAACUCGACCCCAUGAAGUCGGAGUCGCUAGUAAUCGCAGAUCAGCAACGCUGCGGUGAAUACGUUCCCGGGCCUUGUACACACCGCCAU